UUCUAGGUUUUCACUUUGUCAGACAUUUUGAGUUUCGAUCACAAACACUCCACGUUCACAUCACCCAUGCAUGCUGCCCACCCGUAUCCACAAGGCUGCUGUGUCUACUCUGCUCCUGUUUUCCAAAGCACCCCUUCCAUCAGGAAAUGUGCCUUCCAUUCCUAGGGAUGUCAUGAUUCCCAGCUUUCAUAUCUCCUCACAGAGGAGGUUCCCAAAUUACUCUGGGUUCUCAGUCCAGAAGUUGAGCCUUUAAAACCCUUUUCUGUCAUAUGGUCAGUCCGUUGCAGGGUGCAGCCCCUCAGCAGCCAAGAUUCCCUGUGGAUAGCUCUUCAAUCUGAUUGCCUGGGCUUUCUCCAUCAUGAAACCUUUCAUCUCCUUGGUCCUUGUCACACACCCUGAACCCCAAAAUAGAAAAGCCACAACAGAAUGAAGUAGAUGAGAAACAAUCUCCUUGUUUAUAAUUCCGUUUAUUUCCUCACAUACCAGCCAAGCUUCUCAGUCAGGCAGACACAAUAGAUGGAAUGGCAAGGGAAGUGAAGAGUGGAGGCUGCAUCCCUUCAGCCGCCAGCUGAUGUUCUGCUUAUUUCGCAUACCGGAACUCCCAGGCGUCCUCAAACCACAAUCACAGUUGUUGGUUCCAGAAACAUCUUCUUUGGAAAAACAUGUGACAUCAGUUUCCUCAGAGUCUUCCGGACAAUCCAGUCACACAGAACUGACAAAACCUUGUCAGGUGAGAAGAUAAGGAUCUUCUUCAAUACAGAAUAUGUCAACAUCUCCUUCUGAAUAGUUCCGUUUAUUUGCUCACAUACCAGCCAAGCUUCUCAGUCAGCAGGCACAAUAGACUGAAUAGGAAGGGAAGUGAAGAGUGAAGUCUGGAUCCGUUUAGCCUCCAGCUGAUGUUCUGCUUAUUUCCUGUACUGGAACUCUCAGAAGUCCUCAAACCACAAUCACAGUUGUUGGUUCCAGAAACAUCUUCUUUGGAAAAACAUGUGACAUCAGUUUCCUCAGAGUCUCCCGGACAAUCCAGUCACGCAGAACUGACAAAACCUUGUCCAGUAAGAAGGUAAGAAUCUUCUUCAAUAGAGAAUACGUCAACGUCUCCGUGAACGAAGAGAUCUGCUGGUUCCAAGGACUUGUCGUGGAUUUCUGUCCUAGAUACUUUCUUCCGUAAUUCAAGAUAAAGAAAAUUACAAUCUCUGCUGUCCAUUCCAUCGCUUUUCCCUUCAGAAUCAUAAUCAGAGAAUCCUUGCAGAACGUCGUGAGUGUGCUCUCAGCUGCAAUCACCAGAAGGACUCUUCACACUCGGUGGCUCACCAGGAGAAAGGCAUAGCAGAACCUGGACUGAGACCUACGGGAGACAGAUGCUGCCAUGGGGUUGUAGCCCCACAACUUGCCAGUCUGUAUGCUUCCCUAGAGGUUUGAGCAGCGGAGUACUAAAGAAGCAAGCCACACCCCCACUCCACCUCCUGUGAGGGGGACAAGGAAACUUUUCCCAUUUCAACUGGUGGCUCGUCUGGGAUCUCGGAAGAUCAUCCUGGCCUGCUAAGACCCAUCCUGUGCUUAUAAAAACCCCAAGACCCUAGCAGUCAGACACACAGGAGGCUUGACGUCGAGAGGAGCACAUCAGCGGAGGAACACACAGGCGGCUGGACAUGAAGAGGAACAUGACAACAGGCACCAGCACACCAGCAGGGCACCGACUUAUAGAACGAUGUGGAUUUUGCCUGGGGCAGUCAGAGGAGAGCCAGGGCUGCUGAACGGCCCCAAUCCAGGGAGAAACCAAUCUCCUUUCUGGCUCCCCCAUCUGCUGAGAGCUACUUCCACUCAAUAAAACCUUGCACUCAUUCUCCACGUCCACGUGUGACCUGAUUCUUCUGGAAUGCCAAGGCAAGAACCCUAGGAUACAGAAAGCCCUCUGUCCUUGUGAUAAGGAAUGUGUCUAAUUGAGCUAGUUACCACAAGUUGCCUAUAAAUGGCAAAACUAAAAGACCACACGACCACUGGGGCUUCAGGAACUGUAAACAUCCACCCCUACACACUGCCAGUAUGAGAAAAAUUUGCUGAUAUGUUUUCUGCUGACCUGAUGACAAUGUUCCUAUGGUCACACUAACCACUGCUGGGUAAUUUUCAUCAUGACUCUCGUUUUCAUCUGCUGAAACCAGCCUCCCCAAGAAAGACAACUAUUUUCAAACUGAGGAAAUAAAGUGUUACUAAACCACAGUGUUCUCUCAUGGCUGUUCCUGGAGUUCUUCAAAACACUUGAUAUUAUAAAAUAGAAUUAUUACAGAUCACUGUAUGUUAUGGAUUUAGUCAAAAUGAUAAUUUAAAAUAUGGUUUAAAAUAAAAAACUUUAUUUUCCAAAGAAGAUAGUUUUUUAAACAAGAAUAUCCAAUAAAGACAGUAUGAGGUCAGCUGACUUUAGUGUUGGUGUAUGUGUAUGUGUGUGUGUG
rnacentral:lncRNA from 1 species